rnacentral:lncRNA from 1 species
UUACCCCAAAAGGAACUAGCGGUCGUUUCCCCUAUCUUCUUCCUCAUCUUCUCAAAAUAGGAACACCAGAGAACAUACUGCCCAUGUAUCCCACGACUUUUUGAACUCCUCCAUUUUCAACACACUUGAAACCAACGCUCAAUUUUAUCAACAUCGAGAAGGUAAAUUCUGAAAUUUUAUGGAAAAGGGUAAUGCGAAAAUAGCUACGACUUAUAGAAACAGCACAGUUCCUAAAGAAUAUUUAAAGAUAGAUAGGCCUUUUUUUAUGAAUUCAACUUGAAAAUCUUUAUCUUUAAAAUCCAAAAACUCUGGUGAUGCUUCGGUUUUCAGUAUCUGUUGUAAAAGCAAUGGCUCCAUCGCUAACUCUGCUGCUUCCACUAAGGAUGCUACCUCCAGAUUUUUAGAGCAUUAAGUCUAUUGUCUUGUUGUGCUGAUUCUGCUAAUCUUCAUCCACGUUUUCUGCCUUCAUUUGUCUUCUCUUUGGAGUAUUGUUUCUCAAACAAUUAGGUACACAACUUUGAACUUGUCUUAAUUGUGCGAAGCAAAUGAAAUUCCUGCUGAGUUUUGGUUUUUCUUUUUUGCUUUCUUAUCUGAUUGGCUAUGAGAAUUACCUUGAUUCCCGUUUUCAUUUAAGAAUAUUGUUGUUAGUUAGUUGACUCUUUUAAGCACUUUUACUUUCACCUAGCUCUUGAAUCGGGUCAGAGAUGAAAUCGUUUGUUCUACUUGCUGAACUUAAUAGAUGUUGUAGUUGAAUUCGCUAUGGCGUAUUUGUUUAAAGCAUAAACUCAAUUGAAUGGGGACUAUCAUAUCUUGUGUUUCUGCUUGGACUAUUCCUGGGAUGUCAUUGAUUAUAAUGGUGGACUUUAAGCUAAUGUGUACAGAUUUAAUAUUAAAAGGCUUUCAAUGAGCUUGGACACCAGUUCAACUCUAGUUUAGCUUAUGUAAUUGGGCCAUUCAAAGUAUAAUUAAAGAGGCUAUUGAUGUAAAGUUGAAAAUUGUGCUUUUUCUAUAACGAAUUGGUGAUGUAAUUUUUGAAUUUAAGAUAAUAUAUAUUCAUGCUUAGCUUAAUUCAUAGCUAUUUCGCUUUUCUUUAUGGAUAGCCUUUUGAGUUUGAUUAUCAAAUCUGAUUUCAAACUCUUCUAAAUAAUUAUUACUAAGCAAGUUCAGUGUGUCAAGAUCAUAUACAUUAAUUUCUAUGCCUUUUACCCACAAAAUUGUAAUCCUCUCAUAAUCUAGUUUAAAAUCCACCAAUGUGCACUCUUGCCAAAUGAUUCUAUCAUUCCAAUAAUCUCAAAGUAGGAAAUAAUUCAUGAACAUCGUAACUUGCUUUAUGACCGAUUAAUAAUAAAUCUUCGUGACUAUGGGUGCAGUUUCUGUGGCAUAGUCAUGAUGUGUAACUCCAAAAUUUGAGUGCACGCUGGCAUGACGCGACCCCCCCCCCCUUCCCCAACUCCGAACAAUUAUAAAAAGAAACAUAUUGUAAAUCGCUGGUGCAUUUCAUGUGACGUGGUUUGCAAUGUGUACCAAAACAACAAGUGUACGACAACGAUGUAAUGAUCCGGCCGGUCAUUUCAUGAGUUACCGCUCCGUUUCCCCCAUUUGUGCUUCUUUAUGUCUUGUUCAGCUGUAUUAUAUGGUAUCAGGUUAGUUGAUUCGGGUUUGGAGUGGUUUUGGAGAGGUUUGAGACACUUAGUCUAUUUUGAGUAAGCUUAAGUGGGAAAACUCAACCGGAUGUUGACUUAUGUGAAAAAGGGCUGGGAUGUGAAAUAUGAUGAUUCGGAUAGCUUCAAAAGGUGAUGUAAGAGCAUGAUCGGAAUGUGUUUUGGAAGUUCGUAGUAAAUUUAGGAUUGAAGUGGCAAAAAUGGAUUUUUGGCGUGUUUCGGUUGAUAGUGGAAAUUUUGAUAUAGGGGUCGGAGUGGAGUUCCAGGAGUGACAAUAGGUUCGUUGUAUCAUAUGGGAUGUGUGUGUAGAAUUUCAGGUCAUUCGGACGAGGUUUGAUAGACUUUUUGAUCGAAAGCGGAAUUCAGAAGUUUUUGGAGUCCUUAGGCUCGAAUCCGUGGUUGAUUUGUUGUUUUAAUGUUGAUUUAGGUGCUUCGAAGAUUGGUAUAUGUUUGGAUGGUGGUAUAUGACUUGUUCGUACUUUUGGUUUAGGUCCCGGGGGCCUCGGGGUAAUUUCGGAUGGUUGAUGGGAGAUUUGGAGCUGGAAAUUUGUAGCUGAAGUUGUUGGAGCUCCUAUCUGAGGGUUCGAAACCCCAAACUAUGUGUUCUAUGAUUACUAAUGAGGUGACGCAAAUGCCAAGUGAUGGGUGUGUGGGCAUGCACCAUGAGAAAUGUGUCCUGGAUCAUUCCAGAGCACCGCUUAAUGACUCUUUCUUGCUGAUAUCUAUGUUGUAUCUAUGUGAUUAAGUUAAUGAGCUGC